UACGGCUAUAUUAUGUUGAAACAUCGGUUCCCGUACAAUCACAGAAGGUAAGCAACGUCGGGCCUAGUCAGUACCUUGAUGUGUAACCGCAUGGGAAUGUCAGGU